ensembl:lncRNA
CGACAAAACAAGAAAUCCAAGCUGAAGAAAACCUGAUAAUGAUAUGGUCUAUAUUAUCUGUUUCUACCCCCCUUCUCUCUCUCUCUCUCUCUCUUGCUUGCUAUCUAUCUAUCUCCCCCAUCUCUGUCUCACUAUCCUCUCUGUCUCUCUCGCUAUCUAUCUCCCUCCCCCAUCUCUGUCUCACUCUCCUCUCUCUCGCUCUCACUCUCACUCUCCUCUGUCUGUCUGUCUCUCUCUCUCCCAGGCAGGGGAGUCUGUCCUCAGUGUUCUGGCAGGUUGUAUGAUGGUUAGGAAGCUGUCAGAGAUGGAGAGUGAGACGUAGACAAACUGAAAUGGUCCACCCACACAGACAGUGUGAUGAAGGCAGCACAACAGCGCCUCUUCAACCUCAGGAGGCUGAAGAAAUGUGGCUUGUCACCCAAAACCCUGACAAACAUUUACAGAUGCGCAAUCGAGAGCAUCAUGUCGGGCUGUAUCACAGCAUGGUACGGCAACUGCACCGCCCUCAACCACAAAGCUCUCCAGAGGGUGGUAAGGUCUGCACAACGCAUCACAGUGGGCAAGCUACCUGCCCUCCAUAACACCUACGGCACCCGAUGUCACAGGAAGGCCAAAAGGAUCAUCAGGGACAACAUCCACCGAGCCACUGCCUGUUCGCACCGCUAUCAUCCAGAAGGCGAGGUCAGUACAGGUGCAUCAAAGCUGGGACAAAGAGACUGAAAAGCAGCUUCUAUCUCAAGGCCAUCAGACUGCUAAACAGCAAUCACUAACUCAGAGAGGCUGCUGCCUACAUUGAGACCCAACCACUGGCCACUUUAAUAAAUGGAUCAGUCACUUUAAACAAUGGCACUUUAAAUAAUGCCACUUUAAUAAUGUUUACAUAUCUUACAUUACUCAAAUCAUAUGUAUAUACUGUAUUUAUAGCAUCUAUUGCACCUAUGCCGCUUGGCCAUUGCUCUUCCAUAUAUUUAUAUGUAAAUAUUCUCAUUCACCCCUUUAGAUUUGUGUGUAUUAGGUAGUUGUUGGG